rnacentral:rRNA from 1 species
GACGAACGCUGGCGGCGUGCUUAACACAUGCAAGUCGAGCGGUAAGGCCCUUUCGGGGGUACGACGAGCGGCGAACGGGUGAGUAACACGUGGGUGACCUGCCCUCAGCUCUGGGAUAAGCCUGGGAAACCGGGUCUAAUACCGGAUAUGACUCCAUGACGCAUGUUGUGGGGUGGAAAGCCUUGUGCGGCUGAGGAUGGGCCCGCGGCCUAUCAGCUUGUU